CCUACGGGGAGCAGCAGUGGGGGAUAUUGCACAAUGGGGGGAACCCUGAUGCAGCGACGCCGCGUGGGUGAAGGAGUGCUUCGGCAUGUAAAGCCCUAUCGGCAGGGAAGAAGCAAGACGGUACCUGACUAAGAAGCCCCGGCUAACUACGUGCCAGCAGCCGCGGUAAUACGUAGGGGGCGAGCGUUAUCCGGAUUCACUGGGUGUAAAGGGAGCGUAGACGGCCAUGCAAGCCAGGGGUGAAAGCCCGGGGCCCAACCCCGGGACUGCCCUUGGAACUGCAUGGCUGGAGUGCGGGAGGGGCAGGCGGAAUGCCUGGUGUAGCGGUGAAAUGCGUAGAUAUCAGGAGGAACCCCGAUUGCGAAGGCAGCAUGCCGGCUUCCGACUGACGCUGAAGCACGAAAGCGUGGGGAUCGAACAGGAUUAGAUACCCUGGUAGUC
rnacentral:rRNA from 1 species